AACGAACGCUGGCGGCAGGCCUAACACAUGCAAGUCGAGCGGACCCUUCGGGGUUAGCGGCGGACGGGUGAGUAACGCGUGGGAACGUGCCCUUUGCUUCGGAAUAGCCCUGGGAAACUGGGAGUAAUACCGGAUACGCCCUUUUGGGGAAAGAUUUAUCGGCGAAGGAUCGGCCCGCGUUGGAUUAGGUAGUUGGUGGGGUAAUGGCCUACCAAGCCGACGAUCCAUAGCUGGUUUGAGGGGAUGAUCAGCCACACUGGGACUGAGACACGGCCCAGACUCCUACGGGAGGCAGCAGUGGGGAAUCUUAGACAAUGGGGGAAACCCUGAUCUAGCCAUGCCGCGUGAGCGAUGAAGGCCUUAGGGUUGUAAAGCUCUUUCACCGGGGAAGAUAAUGACGGUACCCGGAGAAGAAGCCCCGGCUAACUCCGUG
rnacentral:rRNA from 1 species